UUGAACGCUGGCGGCAGGCCUAACACAUGCAAGUCGAGCGGUAACACAGAGAGCUUGCUCUCGGGUGACGAGCGGCGGACGGGUGAGUAAUGUCUGGGAAACUGCCUGAUGGAGGGGGAUAACUACUGGAAACGGUAGCUAAUACCGCAUAACGUCGCAAGACCAAAGUGGGGGACCUUCGGGCCUCAUGCCAUCAGAUGUGCCCAGAUGGGAUUAGCUAGUAGGUGGGGUAACGGCUCACCUAGGCGACGAUCCCUAGCUGGUCUGAGAGGAUGACCAGCCACACUGGAACUGAGACACGGUCCAGACUCCUACGGGAGGCAGCAGUGGGGAAUAUUGCACAAUGGGCGCAAGCCUGAUGCAGCCAUGCCGCGUGUGUGAAGAAGGCCUUCGGGUUGUAAAGCACUUUCAGCGGGGAGGAAGGCGGUGAGGUUAAUAACCUCAUCGAUUGACGUUACCCGCAGAAGAAGCACCGGCUAACUCCGUGCCAGCAGCCGCGGUAAUACGGAGGGUGCAAGCGUUAAUCGGAAUUACUGGGCGUAAAGCGCACGCAGGCGGUCUGUCAAGUCGGAUGUGAAAUCCCCGGGCUCAACCUGGGAACUGCAUUCGAAACUGGCAGGCUAGAGUCUUGUAGAGGGGGGUAGAAUUCCAGGUGUAGCGGUGAAAUGCGUAGAGAUCUGGAGGAAUACCGGUGGCGAAGGCGGCCCCCUGGACAAAGACUGACGCUCAGGUGCGAAAGCGUGGGGAGCAAACAGGAUUAGAUACCCUGGUAGUCCACGCCGUAAACGAUGUCGAUUUGGAGGUUGUGCCCUUGAGGCGUGGCUUCCGGAGCUAACGCGUUAAAUCGACCGCCUGGGGAGUACGGCCGCAAGGUUAAAACUCAAAUGAAUUGACGGGGGCCCGCACAAGCGGUGGAGCAUGUGGUUUAAUUCGAUGCAACGCGAAGAACCUUACCUGGUCUUGACAUCCACAGAACUUUCCAGAGAUGGAUUGGUGCCUUCGGGAACUGUGAGACAGGUGCUGCAUGGCUGUCGUCAGCUCGUGUUGUGAAAUGUUGGGUUAAGUCCCGCAACGAGCGCAACCCUUAUCCUUUGUUGCCAGCGGUUCGGCCGGGAACUCAAAGGAGACUGCCAGUGAUAAACUGGAGGAAGGUGGGGAUGACGUCAAGUCAUCAUGGCCCUUACGACCAGGGCUACACACGUGCUACAAUGGCGCAUACAAAGAGAAGCGACCUCGCGAGAGCAAGCGGACCUCAUAAAGUGCGUCGUAGUCCGGAUUGGAGUCUGCAACUCGACUCCAUGAAGUCGGAAUCGCUAGUAAUCGUAGAUCAGAAUGCUACGGUGAAUACGUUCCCGGGCCUUGUACACACCGCCCGUCACACCAUGGGAGUGGGUUGCAAAAGAAGUAGGUAGCUUAACCUUCGGGAGGGCGCUUACCACUUUGUGAUUCAUGACUGGGGUG
rnacentral:rRNA from 1 species